UGCCGCACAUAGUAGCAGGUGAAGGUUUAGCCUGCAGGUAGCCUGCAUCAGUGCGUUUCAGAGCACAAAUGUACCAUAAACAUGCCGCCCUUUUAGCCGUCCCUCCAUUUUCCUCCUCUGCAACAAAUGGAUGUAACUUUUUAGGAUUAUCAACUGAUUCUUGAAUCGUGUGUUUCUGUUUAAAGGUGUACUCUGUGGCCCUUGUGGACCCUCGACAUGAUUAGGGGUCCAGCAGGAGUCUCGGAGCAGGGAGCAGGAGCACAGAGGAGCUGAUGGAGUCCUGAGCCUGGAGCUGGUUUCUAUUGUACCCAGUAAUUGGAUUUGGUCUGGGAGGAGAGAUGACUGCCGGUGAGAGGCUGCGAUCAUUAGAUGUGUAAAUGAGGAGCUAAGACCAGGCCUGCUGCGUUCAGUGUUAUCGGUUGAAAUGAAUGCCAAUGAACAUCUAGCUUGUUUUAACAGUCAGUGUAAAGGAGCUGGUUUGUCGAGGCGGAGGUCAGGUGCCACUGAACUGCUGCAGGAGAAGAAGGCGCAGCAACAUGAUUAAAUAUGAGGACGCUCCUGUCAAACCUCAAAAAGGUGUCUUGGUAAGGCAGGUGAAAACACCCGGGGCUGUCGUCAUCAGGUGACCAGAAGGAGGACGGCCUCUUGUGGUGGAGCUCUCGGCGAACACAGCGAGGACACGGCUGAGCUUUCUGUCGACACUCGGUGUGGAAGACGGCGCCACAGCCGUCGCACCUGCAGACACACAACAACAGCACCCACACAGAUCAUGACAAACUUCUGACACCAUCUCUGGUCUGUCUGAUGUAUUCAGUCAAGAAAAAAAAGGUACGUACACACUAAUUAACUUCACAUCAGCUACUGCCAAAUCCAUCUUUUGUUUUGGCUUCAUCAUCAUGUUUUUUUUAAGCAUGAGGAUGCAUUUGACAAAAAUUAAGGGGUCUGAAUGCACUGUAUGUAGCUGAGAAUCUCUGUAUGCUUUUGGUGCCUAAUAAAGAGCUCUGUAAGUUCAAAUUCUCUUCUUUGUCUCUUCUCUCUGUUUACUCUGGUUAAAUAAAAUCAAAACUGUCUGUGGGGCAGAGGAAUGUGGGACAUACUGUGUGGGGUUUUUUAAAAAAAUAUAUAAUUUAGCACAACCAAAUCUUUAACUACAAAAACAGGGUCUCAAAUAUUGGUCCUCACAAAUACAGUACU